rfam:Brachypodium distachyon strain Bd21 chromosome 2, whole genome shotgun sequence.
AUAGUACUCCCUCCGUCUAUAAAAGGAUGUCUUAACUUUGACUAAAUUUGAAUGCAUUUAUACACUAAAUCAUGUCUAGAUACAUCUAAGUUUUUGACAAAAUUAAAACAUCUUUUGUUGGAUGGAGGGAGUACCAA